rnacentral:rRNA from 1 species
UACGUAGGGGGCAAGCGUUGUCCGGAUUUACUGGGCGUAAAGAGCGUGUAGGCGGCCACGCAGGUCCGUUGUGAAAACUGGAGGCUUAACCUCCAGCUGUCGAUGGAAACCAUCUGGCUAGAGUCCGGAAGAGGAGAGUGGAAUUCCUGGUGUAGCGGUGAAAUGCGCAGAUAUCAGGAAGAACACCCGUGGCGAAGGCGGCUCUCUGGGACGGUACUGACGCUGAGACGCGAAAGCGUGGGGAGCGAACAGG